GUUUUCUUUCUUCCGCAUAGUUGGACUAUGGAAUCUUGGGACAAUUUUUAACAUUUUGGAAGAUCGCUUGGGGGUGGUAAUAGUGACUCGUUAGGGCCUUUCCCAUUGUCCACCAAGAACGCCAUCUUAAGUCCCCAGGUCGUGUGCACUUCCAGAUGGCAAUGCAUGAACCAGACUCCUGGAUUAUCAGCACGGAAUCUGAUGGC
rnacentral:misc_RNA from 1 species